UACGUAGGGGGCUAGCGUUGUCCGGAAUCAUUGGGCGUAAAGCGCGCGUAGGCGGCCCGGUAAGUCCGCUGUGAAAGUCCAGGGCUCAACCCUGGAAAGCCGGUGGAUACUGCCGGGCUAGAGUCCGGAAGAGGCGACUGGAAUUCCUGGUGUAGCGGUGAAAUGCGCAGAUAUCAGGAGGAACACCGAUGGCGAAGGCAGGUCUCUGGGCCAUAACUGACGCUGAGAAGCGAAAGCAUGGGGAGCGAACAGG
rnacentral:rRNA from 1 species